rnacentral:rRNA from 1 species
AUUGAACGCUGGCGGCAUGCCUUACACAUGCAAGUCGAACGGCAGCAUGGAAGAGCUUGCUCUUCUGAUGGCGAGUGGCGAACGGGUGAGUAAAGCAUCGGAUCGUACCGUGUAGUGGGGGAUAACGUAGCGAAAGUUACGCUAAUACCGCAUACGCACUGAGGUGGAAAGCAGGGGAUCGCAAGACCUUGCGCUAUACGAGCGGCCGAUGUCAGAUUAGCUAGUUGGUAGGGUAAAGGCCUACCAAGGCGACGAUCUGUAGCGGGUCUGAGAGGAUGAUCCGCCACACUGGGACUGAGACACGGCCCAGGAUCCUACGGGAGGCAGCAGUGGGGAAUUUUGGACAAUGGGCGAAAGCCUGAUCCAGCCAUGCCGCGUGAGUGAAGAAGGCCUUCGGGUUGUAAAGCUCUUUCGGCUGGGAAGAAAUCGCACAGGCUAAUACUCUGUGUGGAUGACGGUACCAGCACAAGAAGCACCGGCUAACUACGUGCCAGCCGCCGCCGUAA